rnacentral:rRNA from 2 species
UUGCCCUAGUAACGGCGAGUGAAGCGGCAACAGCUCAAAUUUGAAAUCUGGCGUCUUUGGCGUCCGAGUUGUAAUUUGCAGAGGGCGCUUUGGCAUUGGCAGCGGUCCAAGUUCCUUGGAACAGGACGUCACAGAGGGUGAGAAUCCCGUACGUGGUCGCUAGCCUUUACCGUGUAAAGCCCCUUCGACGAGUCGAGUUGUUUGGGAAUGCAGCUCUAAAUGGGAGGUAAAUUUCUUCUAAAGCUAAAUACUGGCCAGAGACCGAUAGCGCACAAGUAGAGUGAUCGAAAGAUGAAAAGCACUUUGGAAAGAGAGUUAAAAAGCACGUGAAAUUGUUGAAAGGGAAGCGCUUGCAGCCAGACUUGCCUGUAGUUGCUCAUCCGGGUUUCUACCCGGUGCACUCUUCUAUAGGCAGGCCAGCAUCAGUUUGGGCGGUUGGAUAAAGGUCUCUGUCAUGUACCUCCUUUCGGGGAGAACUUAUAGGGGAGACGACAUGCAACCAGCCUGGACUGAGGUCCGCGCAUCUGCUAGGAUGCUGGCGUAAUGGCUGUAAGCGGCCCGUCUUGAAACACGGACCAAGGAGUCUAACAUCUAUGCGAGUGUUUGGGUGUCAAGCCCGAGCGCGUAAUGAAAGUGAACGGAGGUGGGAACCUUUCGGGGUGCACCAUCGACCGAUCCUGAUGUCUUCGGAUGGAUUUGAGUAAGAGCAUAGCUGUUGGGACGCGAAGAU